AGCAGCCGCGGUAAUUCCAGCUCCAAUAGCGUAUAUUUAAGUUGUUGCGGUUAAAAAGCUCGUAGUUGAAUUUCAGGCCUGGCUGGACGGUCCGCCCUUCGGGUGAGUACUGUCUGUGGUCGGGUCCUACCUUCUGGCGAAGCGUCAUGGCCUUAACCGGCCGUGGCGGGGAACCAGGACUUUUACUGUGAAAAAAUUAGAGUGUUCAAAGCAGGCAAAUCGCUUGGAUACAUUAGCAUGGAAUAAUGGAAUAGGACAAUGGUUCUAUUUGUUGGUUUCUAGGACCGUUGUAAUGAUUAAUAGGGAUAGUUGGGGGCAUUAGUAUUCAAUUGUCAGAGGUGAAAUUCUUGGAUUUAUUGAAGACUAACUACUGCGAAAGCAUUUGCCAAGGAUGUUUUCAUUAAUCAAGAACGAAAGUUAGGGGAUCGAAGACGAUCAGAUACCGUCGUAGUCUUAACCAUAAACUAUGCCGACUAGGAAUCGGGCGAUGUUGAAAAAAUGACGC
rnacentral:rRNA from 1 species